ACGGCUCAGUAACACGUGGACAACCUACCCUUGGGUCUGGCAUAAUCCUGGGAAACUGGGUAUAAUUCCAGAUAGGUCACAGAUGCUGGAAUGCACUGUGGCCGAAAGCUCCGGCGCCCAAGGAUGGGUCUGCGGCCUAUCAGGGUUGUAGUGGGUGUAACGGACCUACUAGCCUACGACGGGUACGGGUUGUGAGAGCAAGAGCCCGGAGAUGGAUUCUGAGACACGAAUCCAGGCCCUACGGGGUGCAGCAGACGCGAAAACUUUACAAUGCGGGAAACCGUGAUAAGGGAAUCUCGAGUGCCAGCAUAUAAUGUUGGCUGUCCAGAUGCCUAAAAAGCAUCUGUUAGCAAGGGCCGGGCAAGACCGGUGCCAGCCGCCGCGGUAACACCGGCGGCCCGAGUGGUAACCGCUUUUAUUGGGUCUAAAGGGUCUGUAGCCGGCCAAGUAAGUCCCUUGGGAAAUCUGGCAGCUUAACUGUCAGGCGGCUAGGGGAUACUGCUAGGCUUGGGACCGGGAGAGGUGAGAGGUACCUUGGGGGUAGGGGUGAAAUCUUGUGAUCCUCGGGGGACCACCAGUGGCGAAGGCGUCUCACCAGAACGGGUCCGACGGUAAGGGACGAAAGCUAGGGGCACGAACCGGAUUAGAUACCCGGGUAGUCCUAGCCGUAAACGAUGCUCGCUAGGUGUCAGUCACGGUGCGACCGUGAUUGGUGCCGUAGGGAAGCCGUGAAGCGAGCCACCUGGGAAGUAUGGCCGCAAGGCUGAAACUUAAAGGAAUUGGCGGGGGAGCAC
rnacentral:rRNA from 1 species